GGGGGGCUGGCGCAACGGUAGCGCGUUGGAUUCCAGUUGGGAUGUCCCAAAGGUUACCGGUUCAAAUCCGGUGUCCCUCA
rnacentral:tRNA from 1 species